GGGCUUCAGAGUUGCAAGGAAGCUGAUGGCAAGGGGAGCUACUGGACACAGACCUCGUCCUGGUCUCCAGGUCACCCGCAGGGUAGGUGACCAGAGCCAGAGAAGCGGUUUAUUCCCGGGGCUCCGCACUGCACCCACGCGCCCGCGCCUGUGUUUGACUGCAGGAGGAUUCUCGGGAGGUGUCCCUUCCUGCCAGCCAGGCCUCACCCCUGGCCAGGCGGCACUCCAGGGUCCGGCCCAAGGUGACUGUCCUGAACUAUGCCUCCCCAAUAACCACAGUCAGCCGGCCACUGAAUGAGAUGGUCUUGACCCCACUGACAGAGCAGGAGGGGGAAGCCUACCUGGAGAAGUGUGGCAGCGUGCGGCGGCACACGGUGGCCAAUGCCCACUCGGACAUCCAGCUGCUGGCCAUGGCCACCAUGAUGCACUCGGGCCUGGGGGAGGAGGCCAGCAGUGAGAACAAGUGCCUGCUCCUGCCACCCAGC
rnacentral:sRNA from 1 species